rnacentral:rRNA from 1 species
UGGGGAAUAUUGGACAAUGGGCGCAAGCCUGAUCCAGCCAUGCCGCGUGAGUGAUGAAGGCCCUAGGGUUGUAAAGCUCUUUCACCGGUGAAGAUAAUGACGGUAACCGGAGAAGAAGCCCCGGCUAACUUCGUGCCAGCAGCCGCGGUAAUACGAAGGGGGCUAACGUUGUUCGGAUUUACUGGGCGUAAAGCGCACGUAGGCGGACUUUUAAGUCAGGGGUGAAAUCCCGGGGCUCAACCCCGGAACUGCCUUUGAUACUGGAAGUCUUGAGUAUGGUAGAGGUGAGUGGAAUUCCGAGUGUAGAGGUGAAAUUCGUAGAUAUUCGGAGGAACACCAGUGGCGAAGGCGGCUCACUGGACCAUUACUGACGCUGAGGUGCGAAAGCGUGGGGAUCAAACAGG